rnacentral:rRNA from 1 species
AUUGAACGCUGGCGGUAGGCUUAACACAUGCAAGUCGAACGGUAACAGCAGAGCUUGCUCUGGCUGACGAGUGGCGGACGGGUGAGUAACGCGUAGGAAUCUGCCUGGUAGUGGGGGAUAGCCCGGAGAAAUCCGGAUUAAUACCGCAUACGCCCUACGGGGGAAAGAAGGGGAUCUCUUCGGAGACCUUUCACUAUCAGAUGAGCCUGCGUUGGAUUAGCUAGUUGGUGAGGUAAAAGCUCACCAAGGCGACGAUCCAUAGCUGGUCUGAGAGGAUGAUCAGCCACACUGGGACUGAGACACGGCCCAG